rnacentral:rRNA from 1 species
GUAUGCCGAUACAUACCAGCACUGAUGCACCGUGAUCCCAGCCAGAACUCCGAAGGUUAAGCGUGCCUUGGGCGAGAUCAGUAAACUAGGAUGGGUGACCCCCGGGGAAGUCCUGCCCGUGUAUGCAUCCC